GCAAUAAGUUAGACGUGAGUAUGGCUAUACAAAUCAUCUGGAACGUAAGUUCUAAUGUAUGUAUUGUAUGUUGUAUUUGCAGUUUUAUGAUAGCA
ensembl:ncRNA mir-2489 mir-2489 stem loop